GACGUAGGGCGCGAGCGUUGUCCGGAUUUAUUGGGCGUAAAGAGCUCGUAGGCGGCUUGUUGCGUCGACUGUGAAAACCCGCGGCUUAACUGCGGGCUUGCAGUUGAUACGGGCAGGCUAGAGUUCGGUAGGGGAGACUGGAAUUCCUGGUGUAGCGGUGAAAUGCGCAGAUAUCGGGAGGAACACCAAUGGCGAAGGCAGCUCGCUGGGACGGUACUGACGCUGAGGCGCGAAAGCGUGGGGAGCAAACAGG
rnacentral:rRNA from 1 species